rnacentral:lncRNA from 1 species
GAUAGAGAUGCGGACAGAAGCUUGCCUGCUGGUUUAGGGGUUGCUAAUUUCCUCAGUUUGCCCAAUUUAUUUAUCCUAUGAAAUUGGUGAUGAGGUACAUAAGUUUGCAUAUAUCUGAGGAUUGAUAUGUUUUGUUCCAUUAGAGACUUCCUGAUUUCUAGAGUUCUUUUAAGUCACACGAUAAACAGAUCUUUUCUUUCUCUGACUUGCUUCUUUUUAGUAGUGUUAUGUUUUAUAUCUUAAUGCAUUCAGAUUCUUUAAUUGGUACCAAAAUCACGUUGUCAGGCAAUAGAAAAUUUCAGGAUGAAAGAGGUUUCCUAGUUUCAUUCACAUGAGCUAGCCUUGGCAAUGCAAUAGUUGGACUUUGAUGAAAAUAAAGUAAACGUGCUACAUAUGAGGACUGCUAGGAUGGAAAUAAAGUAAACGUGGUACAUAUGAAAAUAAAGUAAAUGUGUAGAAUCUGGUUAGUCUACGACCAUUUUUUGCUGAAUUACAUUCUAAAUGGGUCUGCGACCAUUUUUUGGUUGAAUUACCUUCUAAAUGUUUUGUUGCAUUUGCAAUGGAUGAUGAAAAAUAAAUAAAUGUUCAAGUCUUCCUUCUC